GUGCUUCCUUCAGCAGCACAUAUACUAUUGUAAAAUCGGAACAAUAUAGAGAAGAUUAACAAGCCCCCUGUAAUAAGAUGAAAUUUGAGUUCAUGAAGAGUUCCAUGUUUUU